AACGAACGCUGCGGCAGGCUUAACACAUGCAAGUCGAACGUCUCGCAAGAGGGCGUGGGCAGACGGGUGCGUAACGCGUGGGAACAUACCUCUCGGUUCGGAAUAACCCAGGGAAACUUGGGACAAUACCGGAUACGUGCGAAAGCAGAAAGAUUUAUCGCCGAGAGAUUGGCCCGCGUCCGAUUAGCUGGUUGGUGAGGUAACGGCUCACCAAGGCGACGAUCGGUAGCUGGUCUGAGAGGAUGAUCAGCCACACUGGGACUGAGACACGGCCCAGACUCCUACGGGAGGCAGCAGUGGGGAAUAUUGGACAAUGGGCGCAAGCCUGAUCCAGCCAUGCCGCGUGAGUGAUGAAGGCCCUAGGGUUGUAAAGCUCUUUCGCCAGGGACGAUAAUGACGGUACCUGGAUAAGAAGCCCCGGCUAACUUCGUG
rnacentral:rRNA from 1 species